UGGCGGACGGGUGAGUAACGCGUGAGAAUCUGGCUUCAGGUUCGGGACAACCAUUGGAAACGAUGGCUAAUACCGAAUGUGCCGCAGGGUGAAAGAUUAAUUGCCUGAAGAUGAGCUCGCGUCUGAUUAGCUAGUUGGUGGGGUAAAAGCCUACCAAGGUGACGAUCAGUAACUGGUCUGAGAGGAUGACCAGUCACACUGGGACUGAGACACGGCCCAGACUCCUACGGGAGGCAGCAGUGGGGAAUUUUCCGCAAUGGGCGAAAGCCUGACGGAGCAAUACCGCGUGAGGGAGGAAGGCUCUAGGGUUGUAAACCUCUUUUCUCAGGGAAGAAAAAAAUGACGGUACCUGAGGAAUAAGCAUCGGCUAACUCCGUGCCAGCAGCCGCGGUAAUACGGAGGAUGCAAGCGUUAUCCGGAUUUAUUGGGCGUAAAGCGUCCGCAGGUGGCAGUUCAAGUCUGCUGUCAAAGGUCGGGGCUUAACCCCGAACAGGCAGCGGAAAC
rnacentral:rRNA from 1 species